GAGGUCCUCUGCUCCCGGGCCCGGCGGGAACAAACUGCCGCGGUGGCGGGAGCUAGGCUCGCUUGGCUGGAGGCGGGUCAUCCUUCUCCUCGCAGCUCCCGCAACCCCGUGGCUCCCUGGAGCCACCACCACCUUCAGUGCGCUCAGUUACUGGAAGUCAAAGCUUAUGCCGGCGCAGCUGCAUCUGGUGGUGGCAGUGGCUACAAACCUCCUCUCCUCAUCUCCCCAAGGCGGCGCCCGGGCCACCCGGGCCGAAGCGCGGAUGGAUCGCCAGUGAGCCGAGAUGGCCAGACCGACGCCGCGGACAAGGACCUACUGGAGGCUAAGGGAGUUCUGGAGGACAAGUGAAGAGAGUGAUCCAGAGGAACAAACUCGGGCGCCGGAAGAUCCUACUCAGAUAGGUUCUCUUAAGAGCCCCAUGGAGAAGCCAUUUUGUGGAUCUGGGAAAGAAAAGCCCUCCUGAGAUUGUAUGGAUAUAAUUAAGUCAGUGGCGAAACUGCUAAAGUUGAACUGCUGACGGGCAAGUUUGUCUCUAGACUCUGAAGAACAUAGCCUGCAGUCUUAAGAGUUUGGAGCUUGAAGAGGACCCUGGCCCGCUCCAGGCACUACUAGCCUGUGAAAAGAGGCAGGAACUAAAUAGGGCGUACCACGUCCAUGCUCUUUUACAAUUUUAUUUACCAACCGGCUAACCUUGGGGAAAGCUGCAGAGCCUAUGCUAGCCCCCUCCCCCUCUCCAAGAGACUACAGCCCCGUUUUGAGAUCUAAAAAACAGCUGCUACAACUCCCAUCUCUAAACCUGCUUUGGAAUCUAAGUUUCUCUUAGCUGAAUUUGGAGGCAGAGACUCAAGAUCCUGUCCCACAAAGAUGGACUUAAAAUGGCCGGGGCCCUAGACACAGAGAUGAAAGAUAGCUGAGAUUCCAGUGUGUGCAUCAUGAUUUCAGCAGCCCAACCCCAGCCGCCUCUGCUCUAUCCCACAGCUAGGGCGACAUCCUUUUCCUCUGGUUCCACCACUCCUGGUCAAGGACCCCUCAAUCCACAGACAAAGUAGUGGGAGGUUUGCUUAAGCGCCUAUGACCUACUCUGCGGCAGCUGCAGCGGGCGGCGGUUGGGACCAGAAUAAGCUACGGAUCCCGAAUCCCGGUCGGUCGCGGGAAGAGGGUUGGGAGCUCAAGAGAGGGUAAAAACAGCACCACCCCCAAACCGCGGAGCGAAGGCGCCUGCUUAAGGUAUCCGAAGAGCUCAAAGCGACUGUAUUAGGCCAAACUUUUCAAGAAAGCUGAGGUUCGGCGAGCCAAUAAGUGGGGGACAAUUGCAGGUGUGCUUGAAGUGUGUGCUCCAAUUCUACACUUUCCCUGGUGGAUUCUAUGGGCCCUAGGUCCGAGGGUCUGUCUGUCUUAGUAUGUAUCUUUUCCCUUGUUUAACUUGCUCAUCGUGGUCAAGAAUGCCGCAGAGUGGCAGACCUCUUACAGAUUUCCACUACCGAUCUCACUUGAUGUUCACUGGGUCCUGGUGACCUGAAACUUCCCUGGAAUGCUGGCUGUUCAUAUCUGCGGGAGCAAGGACCUAGUGUGGGACUGGCCGCUUGAUCUCAGAGGGAAAGGCUGUGUGCUAGCGUGCAGAUCGGGAUGAGAGAUGAAAGUCGGAAGACAGAAGAGUGGGGAGAGAUGCUGCCAUAGAACCUGGUGGGCACGGGGCCGCGACCUCCUUCACACCAAUCUCACACUGCGUCUAGAACAGAGGCACUCUGGGAAUGGACCGCUCUUCUAGUAUCCCAAAUUGGGGUAGGGCAGAAGGGAACUGUGCCUAGCCUUAGGGACUAAGUUCCCCUGUGCAUUGUUACAUUUCACUUUUCCAAAUGAUUGGUGAAGUACUAGGUCCUCGAAUGGGCAAAGAACUGCUGCAGAAUUCCCAGGCUGGUGGAGUACAUGCGGAGCCGAGGAAGCUGAAUGAGGGACCAGCCAGAGCCCCGGCCUAUCUGCUCAGAAGCAAUGGGUGGAUUCCUAGAGAACAGCGACCUCUGGAGGACCGUCGCAUCCACGAAAAGCCAGGUUGAGUCUAAACUGCCAUCUUCCCACCCGACACUGCUUUGGCACUCAUCCAGAAACGCUAAAGAUUCCAAUGGAUGGAGGAAGAGAAGGCUUCGUAGGAACCAGAACAGCUGUCAGCUGCAGAGCCAAGCUUCUCCAGGAAGCCUGAGUCAUCCUGAGUCCCUCCCAUCUCAGAAAUGGUGUGUAGUUUCCAAAACAAUUUAUCUCUACUGGAACAAGGAAAUAAACAAAAGAAAAAGGAAGAGAUAGAAUCCAGGAAGCAGAAGGCGUAACACAGGACCGAGAUGAAGGGAUGGUGAGAGAAAUUCCAGAGUGACAUCUGUACAGCAGACGUGGAGAACCACCAGACCAGCCUGGAGCCAGAGGACAGAAAGCUGGGAGAGCUGUCCCCAGGAGGCAGACAAAACAUGCAGCAAAAACAGUGCUGAAUUUCCUUAUACAUUUGCUCUUUUGAAAAAUUGUACUGUUGGAAAAAGAGGGAAAAUUUAGCAGUAGAUAGAAGCUGAGCAAAUGAAAGCAAAAAAGACAUAGCUAGGGACAGGAAAAAUUAAAAAAUUGAACACACAAAAGUCAAGAGCACUGUAUACUCAUGAUUUAUCAGAUAAUAAAAUGCAUACAGUAUACAAAGUAAUAAUGUAAAUGUUAUUAUAAAAACGAAUUUAACCUAAAGUUAGUGAUGUUUGGUGGCAAUGGGAAGAGGAGAAGAUUGCAGAGGUAAAUAAUCAGGUGUCAUGGUAGAAAGUUAAUCAUUAGAGCUGAGGGUGCGUUUUUGUUUUCUGGUUUUUGUUUUUUGUUUUAGUGACAGAGCACUUGAUUCACAUGUUCACGGCAUGGGUUUGAUCUCCAGUGUUGCAAAGCAAAGAAAAAGAAAGAAAGAAAGAAAGAAAGAAAGAAAGAAAGAAAGAAAGAAAGAAAGGAAGAAAGAAGCCAGGCGUGGUGGCGCACGCCUUUAAUCCCAGCACUCGGGAGGCAGAGGGAUGAAGAGAUGGCUCAGUAGUUGGGAGCACUGACUGCUCAUCAGAGGUCUUCAAUUCCCAGAAACCACAUGGUAACUCACAACCAUCUGUAAUGGGAUCUGAUGCCUUCUUCUCAUGUGUCUGAAGACAGUGUACUGAUAUACAUAAAAUAAAUACAUAAAUAAAAAUAAAUAAAAUUUUAAUUUUUUAUAUGUAUGA
rnacentral:lncRNA from 1 species